rnacentral:misc_RNA from 1 species
AACGCACAUUGCGCCCGCUGGUAUUCCGGCGGGCAUGCCUGUUCGAGCGUCAUUAUAACCAAUCAAGCUCUGCUUGGCUUUGGGGCCCGCUGUACCGGCGGCCCUUAAAAUCAGUGGCAGUGCCGUCUGGCUCUAAGCGUAGUAAUACUUCUCGCUAUAGGGUUUAGUCGUCCACUCGUCAGAACCCCAAUUUUUUUUAGGUUGACCUCGGAUCAGGUAGGGAUACCCGCUGAACUUAG